GAGUUUGAUCCUGGCUCAGGACGAACGCUGGCGGCGUGCUUAACACAUGCAAGUCGAACGGAAAGGCCCCGCUUGCGGGGUACUCGAGUGGCGAACGGGUGAGUAACACGUGGGUGAUCUACCCUGCACUUCGGGAUAAGCCUGGGAAACUGGGUCUAAUACCGGAUAGGACCCCUCUUUAGUGUGGGGGGUGGAAAGUUUUUUCGGUGUGGGAUGAGCCCGCGGCCUAUCAGCUUGUUGGUGGGGUAAUGGCCUACCAAGGCGUCGACGGGUAGCCGGCCUGAGAGGGUGGACGGCCACAUUGGGACUGAGAUACGGCCCAGACUCCUACGGGAGGCAGCAGUGGGGAAUAUUGCACAAUGGGCGGAAGCCUGAUGCAGCGACGCCGCGUGGGGGAUGACGGCCUUCGGGUUGUAAACCUCUUUCGCUAGGGACGAAGCUUUUGUGACGGUACCUAGGUAAGAAGCACCGGCUAACUACGUGCCAGCAGCCGCGGUAAUACGUAGGGUGCGAGCGUUGUCCGGAAUUACUGGGCGUAAAGAGCUCGUAGGUGGUUUGUCGCGUCGUCUGUGAAAUUCCGGGGCUUAACUUCGGGCGUGCAGGCGAUACGGGCAAUACUUGAGUGCUGUAGGGGAGACUGGAAUCCCUGGUGUAGCGGUGGAAUGCGCAGAUAUCAGGAGGAACACGAUGGCGAAGGCAGGUCUCUGGGCAGUACUGACGCUGAGGAGCGAAAGCAUGGGUAGCGAACAGGAUUAGAUACCCUGGUAGUCCAUGCCGUAAACGGUGGGCGCUAGGUGUAGGGGUCUUCCACGACUUCUGUGCCGUAGCUAACGCAUUAAGCGCCCCGCCUGGGGAGUACGGCCGCAAGGCUAAAACUCAAAGGAAUUGACGGGGGCCCGCACAAGCGGCGGAGCAUGUGGAUUAAUUCGAUGCAACGCGAAGAACCUUACCUGGGCUUGACAUACACCGGACCGGGCCAGAGAUGGUCUUUCCCUUGUGGCUGGUGUACAGGUGGUGCAUGGUUGUCGUCAGCUCGUGUCGUGAGAUGUUGGGUUAAGUCCCGCAACGAGCGCAACCCUUGUCUUAUGUUGCCAGCACGUAGUGGUGGGGACUCAUGAGAGACUGCCGGGGUCAACUCGGAGGAAGGUGGGGAUGACGUCAAAUCAUCAUGCCCCUUAUGUCCAGGGCUUCACACAUGCUACAAUGGUCGGUACAACGCGUUGCGACACUGUGAGGUGGAGCUAAUCGCUGAAAGCCGGCCUCAGUUCGGAUUGGGGUCUGCAACUCGACCCCAUGAAGUCGGAGUCGCUAGUAAUCGCAGAUCAGCAACGCUGCGGUGAAUACGUUCCGCGGGCCCUUGUACACACCGCCCGU
rnacentral:rRNA from 1 species